rnacentral:rRNA from 1 species
UGUCAGCAGCCGCGGUAAUACGGAGGGUGCAAGCGUUAUCCGGAUUCACUGGGUUUAAAGGGUGCGUAGGUGGGUUGGUAAGUCAGUGGUGAAAUCUCCGGGCUUAACCUGGAAACUGCCAUUGAUACUAUCAAUCUUGAAUACCUUGGAGGUGAGCGGAAUAUGUCAUGUAGCGGUGAAAUGCUUAGAUAUGACAUAGAACACCAAUUGCGAAGGCAGCUCACUACACGGUCAUUGACACUGAGGCACGAAAGCGUGGGGAUCAAACAGGAUUAGAUACCCUGGUAGUCCACGCCCUAAACGAUGGAUACUCGACAUCAGCGAUACACUGUUGGUGUCUGAGCGAAAGCAUUAAGUAUCCCACCUGGGAAGUACGACCGCAAGGUUGAAACUCAAAGGAAUUGGCGG